rnacentral:rRNA from 1 species
UACAGAGGGUGCGAGCGUUGUUCGGAAUUAUUGGGCGUAAAGGGCGCGUAGGCGGUGCGGUAAGUCACCUGUGAAAUCUCCUGGCUCAACUGGGAGCUUGCAGGCGAAACUGCCGUGCUGGAGUGUGGGAGAGGUGAGUGGAAUUCCCGGUGUAGCGGUGAAAUGCGUAGAUAUCAGGAAGAACACCGAUGGCGAAGGCAGUUCUCUGGGCCGUAACUGACGCUGAGGAGCGAAAGCGUGGGGAGCGAACAGG